rnacentral:rRNA from 1 species
CCUACGGGGGGCUGCAGUGGGGAAUAUUGGGCAAUGGGCGCAAGCCUGACCCAGCAACGCCGCGUGAAGGAAGAAGGCUUUCGGGUUGUAAACUUCUUUUAAGAGGGAAGAGCAGAAGACGGUACCUCUUGAAUGAGCCACGGCUAACUACGUGCCAGCAGCCGCUGUAAUACGUAGGUGGCAAGCGUUGUCCGGAUUUACUGGGUGUAAAGGGCGUGUAGCCGGGCUGACAAGUCAGAUGUGAAAUUCCGGGGCUCAACCCCGGACCUGCAUUUGAAACUGGUGGUCUAGAGUGUCGGAGAGGCAGGCGGAAUUCCUAGUGUAGCGGUGAAAUGCGUAGAUAUUAGGAGGAACACCAGUGGCGAAGGCGGCCUGCUGGACGACAACUGACGGUGAGGCGCGAAAGCGUGGGGAGCAAACAGGAUUAGAUACCCUAGUAGUC